rnacentral:rRNA from 1 species
UGGGGAAUAUUGCACAAUGGGCGCAAGCCUGAUGCAGCCAUGCCGCGUGUGUGAAGAAGGCCUUCGGGUUGUAAAGCACUUUCAGCGAGGAGGAAGGUGGUGAGCUUAAUACGCUCAUCAAUUGACGUUACUCGCAGAAGAAGCACCGGCUAACUCCGUGCCAGCAGCCGCGGUAAUACGGAGGGUGCAAGCGUUAAUCGGAAUUACUGGGCGUAAAGCGCACGCAGGCGGUUUGUUAAGUCAGAUGUGAAAUCCCCGGGCUCAACCUGGGAACUGCAUUUGAAACUGGCAAGCUAGAGUCUCGUAGAGGGGGGUAGAAUUCCAGGUGUAGCGGUGAAAUGCGUAGAGAUCUGGAGGAAUACCGGUGGCGAAGGCGGCCCCCUGGACGAAGACUGACGCUCAGGUGCGAAAGCGUGGGGAGCAAAACAGGAUUAGAUACCCUGGUAGUCCACGCUGUAAACGAUGUCGAUUUUGGAGGUUGUGCCCUUGAGGCGUGGCUUCCGGAGCUAACGCGUUAAAUCGACCGCCUGGGGAGUACGGCCGCAAGGUUAAAACUCAAAGGAAUUGACGGGGUC